AUUGAACGCUGGCGGCAGGCCUAACACAUGCAAGUCGAACGAGUGGCGGACGGGUGAGUAAUGUCUGGGAAACUGCCCGAUGGAGGGGGAUAACUACUGGAAACAGUAGCUAAUACCGCAUACCAUCGGAUGUACCCAUAUGGGAUUAGCUAGUAGGUGGGGUAACGGCUCACCUAGGCGACGAUCCCUAGCUGGUCUGAGAGGAUGACCAGCCACACUGGAACGGAGAAACGGUCCAGACUCCUACGGGAGGCAGCAGUGGGGAAUAUUGCACAAUGGGCGCAAGCCUGAUGCAGCCAUGCCGCGUGUAUGAAGAAGGCCUUAGGGUUGUAAAGUACUUUCAGCGAGGAGGCGUUACUCGCAGAAGAAGCACCGGCUAACUCCGUGCCAGCAGCCGCGGUAAUUC
rnacentral:rRNA from 1 species